AUUGAACGCUGGCGGCAGGCCUAACACAUGCAAGUCGAACGAGUGGCAGACGGGUGAGUAAUGUCUGGUACACUGCCUGAUGGAGGGAGAUAACUACUGGACACGGUAGCUAAUACCGCAUACCAUCAAAUGUUCCCAGAUGGGAUUAGCUUGUUGGUUGGGUAACGGCUCACCAAGGCGACGAGCCCUAGCUGGUCGGAGAGGAUGACCAGCCACACUGGAACUGAGACACGGUCCAGACGCCUACGGGAGGCAGCAGUGGGGAAUAUUGCACAAUGGGCGCAAGCCUGAUGCAGCCAUGCCGCGUGUAUGAAGAAGGCCUUCGGGUUGUAAAGUACUUUCAGCGGGGAGGCGUUACCCGCAGAAGAAGCACCGGCUAACUCCGGGCCAGCAGCCGCGGUAAUUC
rnacentral:rRNA from 1 species